AACAGGAUUAGAUACCCUGGUAGUCCACGCCCUAAACGAUGUCAACUAGCUGUUGGGGGCUUCGGCCCUUGGUAGCGCAGCUAACGCGUGAAGUUGACCGCCUGGGGAGUACGGUCGCAAGAUUAAAACUCAAAGGAAUUGACGGGGACCCGCACAAGCGGUGGAUGAUGUGGAUUAAUUCGACGCAACGCGAAAAACCUUACCUACCCUUGACAUGUCUGGAAUGCCGAAGAGAUUUGGCAGUGCUCGCAAGAGAACCGGAACACAGGUGCUGCAUGGCUGUCGUCAGCUCGUGUCGUGAGAUGUUGGGUUAAGUCCCGCAACGAGCGCAACCCUUGUCAUUAGUUGCUACGAAAGGGCACUCUAAUGAGACUGCCGGUGACAAACCGGAGGAAGGUGGGGAUGACGUCAAGUCCUCAUGGCCCUUAUGGGUAGGGCUUCACACGUCAUACAAUGGUCGGGACAGAGGGCAGCCAACCCGCGAGGGGGAGCCAAUCCCAGAAACCCGAUCGUAGUCCGGAUCGCAGUCUGCAACUCGACUGCGUGAAGUCGGAAUCGCUAGUAAUCGCGGAUCAGCAUGUCGCGGUGAAUACGUUCCCGGGUCUUGUACACACCGCCCGUCACACCAUGGGAGUGGGUUUUACCAGAAGUAGUUAGCCUAACCGCAAGGGGGGCGAUUACCACGGUAGGAUUCAUGACUGGGGUGAAGUCGUAACAAGGUAACC
rnacentral:rRNA from 1 species